rnacentral:lncRNA from 1 species
UGCAUUUAACUCUUAAAAUGAUUUUACAAUAAAGGAAAUUCAAAUGAAGUGCCCACCUAGGUUGCCUUGGGUUAAAGAACUCCCUUUCUCAUGCUUUUUCUUAAGACCAAUCAGCAUCCAAACUUCCCAAGAAAACUAAUGCAUAAGAAGCAUAGAUCUAUAGAGAACUAGUACACAUUUAACCCUCUUUUCCCCAGAGACUAUUCUAAACCCAAUUGUCAUGUCGAGGUUAGUAAAAUAAUAGAACUGUAAUACAUACAAUAUAUAUUAAACAUUAACUUGCAAGUGACAGAGCUUCCACCAGGAGUGUAUUAUUGACAACCUAGUUAAUCAAGUUCAUUGACCGCAAGUGGAAAAAAAAUUCAUUCUCACCAGGACUAUUCAAUUACAACAUUAAGCUCACACUCAGCUUAUACAUGAAAGCAAAGAUGCAAUUUAGAAACCUAAUUAUCCCAUGUAAUAUCCUUUCCAAUAUGUUCGAGCUCAUUAAAAUAGCAACAUCCUCUUUGAAUGAGCAGGGGUGUUGAAAUAUCUUGUAAAUGAAGAUAGAGGAGAAGAAUAUUAAGAAACUAAAUUGUGAUCAGUAAAAGAAAAAAGAAACAAAAUUCAGACCUAGUUUAUUAAGUACAAGUUGCAAUCAUAUGAAAUGGCAAGAGAAAGCUACUUAGCAGGUCAUUACUGAACAAAAAAAUAAUCUACUUACCAAGAGAAGCUAGAAUAGGCAAAAUGAGAUUACUGCUUUAAUAAUGAUGCAGAAACAGUAGUGACAUUGAUCCAUAAGAAGCUUAGCAAACUCUUGGAAUAGUUUAAGCUAAUUUGACAAAAGCUUAAGCAAAGAAAAUAAUUGAAGCAUAAUUGAAAGUUGAUGGACCUUUAUACGAGAUUCCGUCAUCACUGUCCAUCGACAUUGCUGAUUGAGCAUAUGGAGGGGCAUUGGAGCGGUUUGCAACUUGUGAUGAUUUUGGCAAAGAAUCUGUAGCUUUUUCCU